GCUGGUGAAAUAGCUCAGUUGGUAGAGCAUGAGACUCCUGAUCUCAGGGUCAUGGGUUCAAGCACCACGUUGGGCG